GUCUCAUCCAAUCACUGAAGUUAAGCAACAUCAAGCUUAGUUAGUACCUGGAUGGGUGACUACUUGGAAAUAUCAAGUGCUGUAAU